AUUAAGGCGUAGGCUUUGAGAAGACAACUGAGAAAAAGGAGAGGUAGAACGAGAAGAGGAAUCAGAAGAUGAUGAUGAGGGUGAUUCGUUGUAAGGCUCAUUUAAGAUUGUUGAGGAAUGGCUUACUAAAGUGUUUUCAUAUUUACCAUAAUCAUCUGUAAUCGAAAAUGGUUCAAAGUUCGAAUCAAGGUCGUCAGCUACAAGCACAUUGGUUGUAUCGACGGGAUCAUGUUCCUGAAUACAUUUUACCACAACAGGAUAGUUUUUUGUUUGGGAACCCGAAUGCUCUUCCUCUUUAAAGGAGGCUGUAUUGGGAGGACCCAUAAUAGCGGCAAGGAUCUCAUAUCGUGAUUGAAAGUCACCCAUUCAGAAUUUCAGAAAUGAA